rnacentral:rRNA from 1 species
UACGGGGGGGGCUAGCGUUGUUCGGAAUUACUGGGCGUAAAGGGCGCGUAGGCGGUCUACUAAGUUGGAUGUGAAAACUCUGGGCUUAACCCAGAGCCUGCAUUCAAAACUGAUAGGCUAGAGUUCUGGAGGGGAUAGCGGAAUUCCUGGUGUAGCGGUGAAAAUGCUUAGAUAUCGUCAAAGAACACCGAUAGUGAAGACAGCUAACUAAGCUUUA